AUGCGGCACCCGCAGGCACCGCACCGUGCCACACACUGCGCACCCUGUGUGGCACAAGGGGGCUGCGGGGCGGUGGGUGUAGCUCCCCCCAGCCAUAGCCAUAGCCACAGCCAUAACCGUAACCACAGCCACAGCCAUAACCACAACAAUAACCACAGCCAUAACCACAGCCACAGCCAAAACCAUAUCCAUAAAGCCAUAAACAUGACAACAACCAGAACCAUAGCCAAAAAAAACAUAACCAUAACAACCACAACCAUAGCCAUAGCCCUAACCACAACCACAACCACAACCCUAACCACAGCCAUAGCCAUAACCACAGCCAUAACCACAGCCAUAAAACCACAGCCACGACCCUCCCCACCCUCCCCACACCCCCCCACCAGCCCCCAGCAACCCCGUGCCCCGCGGGUGCUGCCCAUACCCUCCUCGCAGGGGCUGUUCGGGCGCCUGCCGGGACCCAGCACCAUGGUGCUGGGGGGGUGGGCACGCACCGGGGGGGGGUCCUCUGUGACAUCCCCCUCGGAACCACGCGUGCCCCGGGAUGGAGACGCCCCGGCAGCGGCUGGCACCAUCCUCCCCUGCCUGACCACCACCUCGAGGGGCUCCCCAUGCCCGGCGGGAGCAGCCCCCCGGCCCCCUCACCCAUCGGGGGGCCGGGGCAGGGGGCCAUGCAGCCGCUGCUCGCCACCCGCCCCUCGCGCGCCGGGCUCUCCGUCUUCGCCUGCUACGACCAGCUGCGGCACGAGAUCCAGGCGCUGCUGGCGGAGAACGAGGAGCUGGCUCGCGUGGUCAACCUCAUCAGGGAGCACCAGCAGCUGCGGCACGUCCUGCGCGGCCACCCCAGCAUCCAGCCCCUGCUCACCUCCACGCCCCGCGACGGCCCCGCAGACCUCCCCGGCGGCACCGCAGGUCAGGGGCGGCCGGCACCGCGGCGAGCCGGCUGCUGGGGAGGGGGGACCAGGGCUUAAAACCUGCCCCCCUCCCGCAGCGAGCGCAGCGCGGGACAGGGAGCCGGCACAGAACCAAAGCGCGCCGCUAUCACCCAUGUGGUUCAACCUGCAGCCGCACGGCACCACGCCUGAGCCGUCCCUCAGCGGCACGGAGAUCGGCCCCGCGUUCUUCCCCGUCGCCACCAGGAACAAGUCCAUACCCGUGAACAUGUACGCCAACCCCUUCCUUGGGGACCCCUUCCUGCAGUACUCCUGCCCCGUCGAACUGCAGGGCAGCUUCACCCUGUCCCCGGAGCGCCAGCAGCCCCCCGAGCAGCCCCCAGACCCACGGACGUCAGAGCAGAGGAGCCCCAGCGCGCAGAACCUGCAGAGCCCCGGCCCCACGGUGACCCCGA
rnacentral:lncRNA from 1 species